GUAGUAGGUAUUAACACGCUGAAUGUUUUGUGUUUAGGUUCUGCAUUCCAGGGUGCAGUUCUACGGUCAGCGAUGGCAGACUCGACUUCGGAAGCUACAAUAAGAGGAAGGGGAAUGGCAAGAAAAAAAGCUGAUAUAUUGGGCAGACACCGAUGUGGGUGUUCCUGCCGGCGGCGGUGAGAGGUAUCUUGACGGGCGACUCUCCGAUGACAAUGUUCUUGAUGCAGCCGGUGAAGCCGCGACGAGAGCGAACUCCGCGCACCCGGUGUAACGGCUUCUCGUGCCCGCCGAUGUACAGAGACGACCGAGUGUCGGUGGAAGCGUACGCGCCCAGACCCGGCUUAGAGAAGUGCCCGUCGACGCCCACCGAUACUACGUACAGAGACUUCACCACUGCAAACAGAUAAAUCGGUAUAAUUAGAAGGAAAAUCAAAUAAAUAAAUGUACAAAAUGAG
rnacentral:lncRNA from 1 species